rnacentral:rRNA from 1 species
CCUACGGGUGGCUGCAGUGAGGAAUAUUGGUCAAUGGCCGAGAGGCUGAACCAGCCAAGUCGCGUGAGGGAUGACGGCCCUACGGGUUGUAAACCUCUUUUGUCGGGGAGCAAAGAGAGUCACGUGUGGCUCAUUGAGAGUACCCGAAGAAAAAGCAUCGGCUAACUCCGUGCCAGCAGCCGCGGUAAUACGGAGGAUGCGAGCGUUAGCCGGAUUUAUUGGGUUUAAAGGGUGCGCAGGCGGAGGUGCAAGUCAGUGGUCAAAUUGCGGGGCUCAACCCCGUACUGCCGUUGAAACUGCAUCCCUAGAGUGCGCGAGAGGUAUGCGGAAUGCGAGGUGUAGCGGUGAAAUGCAUAGAUAUCACGAAGAACUCCGAUUGCGAAGGCAGCAUACCGGCGCGCAACUGACGCGCAUGCACGAAAGCGUGGGUAUCGAACAGGAUUAGAUACCCGUGUAGUC